AGCGAACGCUGGCGGCAGGCCUAACACAUGCAAGUCGAACGAACUCUUCGGAGUUAGUGGCGGACGGGUGAGUAACACGUGGGAACGUGCCUUUUGGUUCGGAAUAACUCAGGGAAACUUGUGCUAAUACCGAAUGUGCCCUUCGGGGGAAAGAUUUAUCGCCAUUAGAGCGGUCCGCGUCUGAUUAGCUAGUUGGUGAGGUAACGGCUCACCAAGGCGACGAUCAGUAGCUGGUCUAAGAGGAUGACCAGCCACACUGGGACUGAGACACGGCCCAGACUCCUACGGGAGGCAGCAGUGGGGAAUCUUGCGCAAUGGGCGAAAGCCUGACGCAGCCAUGCCGCGUGAAUGAUGAAGGUCUUAGGAUUGUAAAAUUCUUUCACCGGGGACGAUAAUGACGGUACCCGGAGAAGAAGCCCCGGCUAACUUCGUG
rnacentral:rRNA from 1 species